rnacentral:lncRNA from 1 species
GGAAAAGUCCCUUGAACGGAGCUGAUGGACUGACGAGUCCCGCUCCCAGUUACCCUCUCUCUCCAGCCGCUGGUCCCCUCGCGGCAAAAUCAGUUGGAAGGUUCGUCCCGGGAAGAGCGCAGGCAGAGUCCUCUCGGGAAGACACUAGUAAAGUGGCUGACUCUCUUCUCCUGGCCAGGAGUUUCGCGGCUAAGUCAGAGAUGAACUCUGUCCAAGUGUGUGAGAGUUAUUGGAUUGGCGGAGUGAGUGAGUGAGAGUGAGGUUAAAGUUUUUAUAAGUCAGGACUCCGAGGCUGAUGAUGAAACUUUUCCUCCUCCCUCUUUUUCUUUGUGUGGAAGACGGAACUUUAAAGGCGCAGAGUGGCACCUCGGCACCCAUCCCUGGGGACGCACACGCCCCUCCUAUGCCACCAGGUGUUUCUGAUACCUAGCUCUAACUUGUGGAGAAGUAAGCAAAGGAGUUUCCUUUUCUAUCGGGGGAGAGGGGGUAUCGGGGCUCAGGAGCUGGGCUCACUAGAGAAGGAAACCAAUAAAACACUUCUCUUUAGGGAAAGAGUAAGGUAGGAAGUGGGGAUGGGGCGCGGAUUAAAACGCUUCAGUGAUCGAGUCUAGAUUAUUACACAUUUUGUUCUCAUUUAUUUUUCCAUUCAAAAUGUCAAGUUGGAGAGAGGGAGGAAAGAGGCAAGGGGUGGUGGUGGCAGGAAGGCUACUCCCCAAACAGUGAUUGAACACUAGCUUCAAAAUGGACAUAUCCUGACUUGGAGGUUAUUUUGUGGGUUCGAGAAUGUCCAUCUGGCACAGGUGACUGAUGGUGAGGGGAGUUUCAUCACCAAAGAAGAGGACCACCAGCAAGGGGAUGACUAAGAACUGCUUGGACAGUGCAGAGGCGAGAGAACCAAUGACAUCCCAGGUUGCUAUCUUGAUUCUCAGUGGAUUGGAUUUAAGUGUGGCAGAGUUGCACCAAAUUCUCAGCUUCACUCACUCUUCAAGUCUUCAAGAAGUUCAGUGACAGGACAAAAGUCACAAUGGCUGGCAAUGGAAGCAAAUGCGGUGGAUGGCCUCGGCAUCUGUGAUAUAUGACCAAGCUCUAAGCCCUCCACAGGGCCUGCUUUAGCCACCUUCAUGGCCACUGGAACAAAGUAUUCUCAACCACCCAUUCCUCCAGGGAAAGUCUUCAUAUUUGUGGAGCAGACACUCCCAAACUUACGGACAGGAUUGAGCCCUGUGGGCUACCCUUAACAUGGUCUAGCCUGUCUGCCAAGAUGGUUUUGCCAGGGUUGUGGCUGCUGGUCAUGCUUUAGCUUCUUGCAGUCACAAGUGAGAGCUGGGUCAGAGGUGGACCCCAAAGAAGCCCUCCCACCAGAGAUACCGGUCCUCCCUAGACACCCCAUACACCUCUCUACCUCUGUGAAGACUUAGACAUUUGCCUAGACUAGAACACUGAGAAGGUAUAUGAUUUGAUGGGUCACUCAGCACUUUACAUGGGCAGGACAUGAACUCAGAUCUUGAUUGAGGCUAAUUAUCUACUAUAUUGAGCUCCCUUUCUCAUAGGGGGAAAAAUAAAAAGGAGAAUCAGGGCCCA